rnacentral:rRNA from 1 species
AUUGAACGCUGCGGAAUGCUUUACACAUGCAAGUCGAGCGGCAGCGCGGCCUUCGGGCUGGCGGCGAGCGGCGAACGGGUGAGUAAUGCAUCGGAACAUGCCCAGUCGCGGGGGAUAACACUUCGAAAGAAGUGCUAAUACCGCAUACGUCCUGAGGGGGAAAGCGGGGGAUCGCAAGACCUCGCGCGAUUGGAGUGGCCGAUGUCAGAUUAGCUAGCUGGUGGGGUAAAGGCCUACCAAGGCGACGAUCUGUAGCUGGUCUGAGAGGAUGAUCAGCCACACUGGGACUGAGACACGGCCCAGACUCCUACGGGAGGCAGCAGUGGGGAAUUUUGGACGAAGGGGGCAACCCUGAUCCAGCAAUUCCGCGUGAGUGAAGAAGGCCUUCGGGUUGUAAAGCUCUGUCGGCAGGAACGAAACGGUGGGCUCUAACAUAGUCCGCUAAUGACGGUACCUGAAGAAGAAGCACCGGCUAACUACGUG